CUGAUGAUGAUGAUGAUGAUGAUGAUGAUGAUGAUGAGGAUACAGACAAAGAACAGGGAGCUGUAGUUUUGGGAAAUCUGACGCUUGAUGAUGUGUCGGCUUCCAGCAGUUUAACUGCUGAAAUAAAUGUAAACAGUAUUGGAAGUUUGCAUGCAAGCAUAACUGAUACUGCAACACAGAAGAAAUCUUCCUUUCGACGAGGUCCUCCGGCAUCAGAUGGACAAUAAUUCAUUUGAAAAAUUAUAUGUUGAUAUUGCCUGUGAUAUUAAAAUAAAAUGUUUUCAUAUA